rnacentral:rRNA from 9 species
UGGACCUCAGAUCAGGCAAGAUUACCCGCUGAGUUUAAGCAUAUCACUAAGCGGAGGAAAAGAAACUAACUA